rnacentral:rRNA from 1 species
UACGUAGGGGGGCAAGCGUUGUCCGGAAUUAUUGGGCGUAAAGAGCGUGUAGGCGGCUCGGUAAGUCUGCUGUGAAAGUCCAGGGCUCAACCCUGGAAUGCCGGUGGAAACUGUCGGGCUCGAGUCCGGAAGAGGCGAGUGGAAUUCCUGGUGUAGCGGUGAAAUGCGCAGAUAUCAGGAGGAACACCAAUGGCGAAGGCAGCUCGCUGGGACGGUACUGACGCUGAGGAGCGAAAGCGUGGGGAGCGAACAGG